GAUGAACGCUGGCGGCGUGCCUAAUACAUGCAAGUCGAGCGAACAGAUGAGGAGCUUGCUCCUCUGACGUUAGCGGCGGACGGGUGAGUAACACGUGGAUAACCUACCUAUAAGACUGGGAUAACUUCGGGAAACCGGAGCUAAUACCGGAUAAUAUAUUGAACCGCAUGGUUCAAUAGUGAAAGACGGUUUUGCUGUCACUUAUAGAUGGAUCCGCGCCGCAUUAGCUAGUUGGUAAGGUAACGGCUUACCAAGGCAACGAUGCGUAGCCGACCUGAGAGAGUGAUCGGCCACACUGGAACUGAGACACGGUCCAGACUCCUACGGGAGGCAGCAGUAGGGAAUCUUCCGCAAUGGGCGAAAGCAUGACGGAGCAACGCCGCGUGAGUGAUGAAGGUCUUCGGAGCGUAAAACUCUGUUAUUAGGGAAGAACAAAUGUGUAAGUAAAUAUGCACGUCUUGACGGUACCUAAUCAGAAAGCCACGGCUAACUACGUG
rnacentral:rRNA from 1 species